UACGUAGGGUGCGAGCGUUGUCCGGAAUUAUUGGGCGUAAAGAGCUCGUAGGCGGUGUGUCGCGUCGGCCGUGAAAACCUGCAGCUUAACUGUGGGCGUGCGGUCGAUACGGGCAUCACUGGAGUUCGGUAGGGGAGACUGGAAUUCCUGGUGUAGCGGUGAAAUGCGCAGAUAUCAGGAGGAACACCGGUGGCGAAGGCGGGUCUCUGGGCCGAUACUGACGCUGAGGAGCGAAAGCGUGGGGAGCAAACAGG
rnacentral:rRNA from 1 species